rnacentral:antisense_RNA from 1 species
UAAAUGGAAUACCCCAUUAUAAUAAUUGCAAGUAAACAGUUACGAUCCUAUUCAUACACAAAUCCUCCCUUUUUAAAAAGAAACCGCUAAGUUUCCUUAGCGGUUUUAUUAAAAAUUUAUAUUUAUAA